GAUGAACGCUGGCGGCGUGCUUAACACAUGCAAGUCGAACGAAGCACUUUUACGGAAUCCUUCGGGAGGAAGUGACUGUGACUGAGUGGCGGACGGGUGAGUAACGCGUGGGUAACAUGCCUCACACAGGGGGACAACAGCUGGAAACGGCUGCUAAUACCGCAUAAGCGCACAGUGCCGCAUGGCACGGUGUGAAAAGAUUCAUCGGGGUGAGAUGGACCCGCGUGUGAUUAGCCAGGUGGGAGGGUAACGGCCUACUGAAGCGACGAUCAGUAGCCGGCUUGAGAGGGUGACCGGCCACAUUGGGACUGAGACACGGCCCAGACUCCUACGGGAGGCAGCAGUGGGGAAUAUUGCACAAUGGGGGAAACCCUGAUGCAGCGACGCCGCGUGAGCGAAGAAGUAUUUCGGUAUGUAAAGCUCUAUCAGCAGGGAAGAUAAUGACGGUACCUGACUAAGAAGCUCCGGCUAAAUACGUGCCAGCCGCCGCCGUAACAC
rnacentral:rRNA from 1 species